GAGAAGAGAGGGUGACAUGUCAA
rnacentral:siRNA from 1 species